rnacentral:rRNA from 1 species
UGGGGAAUUUUGGACAAUGGGCGCAAGCCUGAUCCAGCCAUGCCGCGUGCAGGAUGAAGGCCCUCGGGUCGUAAACUGCUUUUGUACGGAACGAAAAGCCUCUUUCUAAUAAAGAGGGGUGAUGACGGUACCGUAAGAAUAAGCACCGGCUAACUACGUGCCAGCAGCCGCGGUAAUACGUAGGGUGCGAGCGUUAAUCGGAAUUACUGGGCGUAAAGCGUGCGCAGGCGGUCUUGCAAGACAGUGGUGAAAUCCCCGGGCUCAACCUGGGAACUGCCAUUGUGACUGCAAGGCUGGAGUACGGCAGAGGGGGAUGGAAUUCCGCGUGUAGCAGUGAAAUGCAUAGAUAUGCGGAGGAACAACGAUGGCGAAGG